UACGUAGGGGGCAAGCGUUGUCCGGAAUCAUUGGGCGUAAAGCGCGUGUAGGCGGUUCGAUAAGUCUGCUGUGAAAGUCCAGGGCUCAACCCUGGAAAGCCGGUGGAUACUGUCGGACUAGAGUGCGGAAGAGGCGAGUGGAAUUCCCGGUGUAGCGGUGAAAUGCGCAGAUAUCGGGAGGAACACCAAUUGCGAAGGCAGCUCGCUGGGACGUUACUGACGCUGAGGUGCGAAAGCGUGGGGAGCAAACAGG
rnacentral:rRNA from 1 species